CUGUUUGCUCUUCUCAGAAGAACAUGCCUGCAGAAUAUUUAGAUGGUCACGUUAGGAUGGAAAUAUUUCUUCUUUCAAACACUACUUUGUUCUCUCUUUUAGCCCUUGUUUUCAAAGCCACCUCCUUGAUGUUCCUCGUGGGCAUUAUGGGAUGUCUAUCGGACCUGGUUUCAAAUACUACUUGAAAUAAUUUAAAAUACUUAAUCUGGGCUUGAUUGAGCUUGCCUGUUGGAAUGGAAUCACUAGAAAAGAGUGCACACCCCGUCCAUCUGGCACUCCAGGCAGACUAAAACAAACCCUGUCCAUCUGGCACUCCAGGCAGACUAAAACAAACCCCGUCCAUCUGGCACUCCAGGCAGGCUAAAACAAACCCCGUCCAUCUGGCACUCCAGGCAGGCUAAAACAAACCCCGUCCAUCUGGCACUCCAGGCAGGUUAAAAGCAAGCACUGAACGUAUUUUAAAGUAUGUCCAAUACUAUUUGAACCCAGGUCUGAUGGCUGUAACCAUGGUGGUGUCCAUAUAUAGGAGGGUUUAUUUUAUUACAUGAAAAGUCAAUGUUUUAUAAUAGAGCCAUCAAACAGUG
rnacentral:lncRNA from 1 species